rnacentral:rRNA from 1 species
UACAGAGGUCUCAAGCGUUGUUCGGAUUCAUUGGGCGUAAAGGGUGCGUAGGUGGCGAUGUAAGUCGGAUGUGAAAUCUCCAGGCUCAACCUGGAAACUGCAUUCGAUACUGCGUUGCUUGAGGAUUGUAGAGGGCAUUGGAAUUCACGGUGUAGCAGUGAAAUGCGUAGAUAUCGUGAGGAAGACCAGUGGCGAAGGCGAAUGCCUGGGCAAUUCCUGACACUGAGGCACGAAGGCCAGGGGAGCGAACGGG